AGAUUGAACGCUGGCGGCAGGCCUAACACAUGCAAGUCGAGCGGUAGAGAGGUGCUUGCACCUCUUGAGAGCGGCGGACGGGUGAGUAAUGCCUAGGAAUCUGCCUAGUGGUGGGGGAUAACGUUCGGAAACGGACGCUAAUACCGCAUACGUCCUACGGGAGAAAGCGGGGGACCUUCGGGCCUCGCGCCAUUAGAUGAGCCUAGGUCGGAUUAGCUAGUUGGUGAGGUAAUGGCUCACCAAGGCGACGAUCCGUAACUGGUCUGAGAGGAUGAUCAGUCACACUGGAACUGAGACACGGUCCAGACUCCUACGGGAGGCAGCGGUGGGGAAUAUUGGACAAUGGGCGAAAGCCUGAUCCAGCCAUGCCGCGUGUGUGAAGAAGGUCUUCGGAUUGCAAAGCACUUUAAAGUUGGAGGAAGGUUGUAACUUAAUACGUUGCAACUUUGACGUUACCGACAGAAUAAGCACCGGCUAACUUCGCGCCAGCAGCCGA
rnacentral:rRNA from 1 species